rnacentral:rRNA from 1 species
GGCGGCGUGCUUAACACAUGCAAGUCGAACGAUGAACCACUUCGGUGGGGAUUAGUGGCGAACGGGUGAGUAACACGUGGGCAAUCUGCCCUUCACUCUGGGACAAGCCCUGGAAACGGGGUCUAAUACCGGAUAACACUGCGGAUCGCAUGGUCUGCGGUUAAAAGCUCCGGCGGUGAAGGAUGAGCCCGCGGCCUAUCAGCUUGUUGGUGAGGUAAUGGCUCACCAAGGCGACGACGGGUAGCCGGCCUGAGAGGGCGACCGGCCACACUGGGACUGAGACACGGCCCAGACUCCUACGGGAGGCAGCAGUGGGGAAUAUUGCACAAUGGGCGAAAGCCUGAUGCAGCGACGCCGCGUGAGGGAUGACGGCCUUCGGGUUGUAAACCUCUUUCAGCAGGGAAGAAGCGAAAGUGACGGUACCUGCAGAAGAAGCGCCGGCUAACUACGUGCCAGCAGCCGCGGUAAUACGUAGGGCGCAAGCGUUGUCCGGAAUUAUUGGGCGUAAAGAGCUCGUAGGCGGCUUGUCACGUCGAUUGUGAAAGCCCGAGGCUUAACCUCGGGUCUGCAGUCGAUACGGGCUAGCUAGAGUUCGGUAGGGGAGAUCGGAAUUCCUGGUGUAGCGGUGAAAUGCGCAGAUAUCAGGAGGAACACCGGUGGCGAAGGCGGAUCUCUGGGCCGAUACUGACGCUGAGGAGCGAAAGCGUGGGGAGCGAACAGGAUUAGAUACCCUGGUAGUCCACGCCGUAAACGGUGGGAACUAGGUGUUGGCGACAUUCCACGUCGUCGGUGCCGCAGCUAACGCAUUAAGUUCCCCGCCUGGGGAGUACGGCCGC